rnacentral:rRNA from 1 species
GACAGAGGGUGCAAACGUUGUUCGGAAUUACUGGGCGUAAAGCGUGUGUAGGCGGUCUCAUAAGUCGGAUGUGAAAGCCCCGGGCUCAACCCGGGAAGUGCAUUCGAAACUGCGAGGCUAGAGUAUCGGAGAGGUUGGUGGAAUUCUCGGUGUAGAGGUGAAAUUCGUAGAUAUCGAGAGGAACACCGGUGGCGAAGGCAGCUCGCUAAACUGUAACUGACGCUGAGGCACGAAAGCGUGGGGAUCAAACAGG